CCGGCUACGAGCUGCGCCGGCACGGCGCGGUCGCGAUCGCUGACUACGAGGUCGUCACCGCGGCCGCCGGCGGCGUCCGGUCCACCGCGGCCGAUC
rnacentral:tRNA from 1 species